GUGCACAAAAGAAAUCCAAGAUUACAUUCAAACGUCGGUGUAAAGUGGGGAUCGAGUUCAAAAUUAAAGAGCCAAGCGGUGCAAACAUGAAAGUGAAGAGCAAACACGAAGCGAUGUUUCUACAGAUUUAUAAAGGCACCGCUUAUAUGACAUGUACAAACUAGCCGUUAUCACAUGAAGAGGCAACCGUUUAUCAUAAAAGAAAUCGAAGAGUCAACCGUUAUCGAGUGUUGCAAAAAACAAACCGAAGAGGCAAACGCGUUGAAACCAAAGAGGCAAAUACGAAAGCCAGGUGUGGAGGUGCCAUCAGGUUGUAAGAUAUAUUGAGGUCGUGCUGACGUUCGAAGGAAAAUUAAACAGGUGAGUGCCUUUCGUGUGUGUAUAUAAAUAUACAACUGUUUAAUUUGAAUUGCUAAUAUUAUCUGUUACAAUUGAAUGUUAAAGACUGUAAAACUUAAAGAUUCAUAAAACUUAAGGGUUACAAUUAAAACUUAAAAGACACCAUCCCUCUGAUUUUGGUUCAGAAAGAUUAAUGCGUUAAAAAAGGUGCUUUUGUUCGCCUUUCUUAGUCCAAAAUGGGGUAAACACUAUUUUCCCACGUUGGCUUCGAAGCUUUCCAUGAGAUGUCUUUGAAGCAUCAGACUUAGCAAUGGGAAGCUCCUCUUCCAGCAAUGUAAUCACUAGCCUGCCUGGAAAUGAGUUUAAACCCAGUCGGCAAACAAAAAUUAGUUAAAUAAAGUAUUCAAAAGAAGAAGAAAUAUGUAUGGCUUCAAUCCAAGCAGAAACUUAGAAUAGAAAUAAACCUCUUCAUUGCCUGCCUGGAAAGCUAAUAUAUUUAUGAUCAAUUUUCCAUAAUUUUGUUUGACCUUAUUUUAUUUUUAUUAGGUAAAUAGUUUGGAUGAUAGGUGAUCUGACGGUGUGAGGCCAUUUUCUAAGGAUGUUCUAGGAUUUUUUUUCCUUGCUUUCUUCACACAUUGGCAACCAUGUCUAAUAAACAUUUAUGUUUGCAACAUGAGUUUGAAACAAUACUGUUAGAUGGCAUCUCAUUAUGAAGUGGUAUUCAUAUAUGGAAUGAUGCCUUGAGUUUGAACUUCAAAUGGGCAGAGAGCCUGUAAAGCCAUCAAAAUGCGUCAUUCUUUUUUUUGUAUUUCAUCAAUUUUUUAUGUUGUGACAUCAUUAAAAGACAACAUUGUUUUA